CUCUGACACUCACAGAGCACAAGAAACCUCCUUCAGAGUCACGGUCAUCAGGACAGACACCCUGGAACAAUACAAGCUGCAUGCAUUUAUAAGACAACUUGAAAAGCACUUCCAUUCCAACCAAGCUUUGUUAUCUCCCUUAUUCCCAAGAUCAGGGCAAAAGCAAAAUCAAAGAGUUCAUGAACCAAAACGCCAUCUUACUAUUUGCUCAGCUGUGCUCGUCAGUGCACUGGAAAGCACUCUUCUGGACAAAGGAGGAACAAGAUCUCAAUCACACAGAUGCAGGGUGCACAUCUAGCCACACAUGAUGCUGAAAUGUCAAGCCGAAAGGGCAGUCCUUAGUAAGUGCCACACUAGCCUUUUCUCUGCAAUGAAACACUGCUAUAUGAUGCCAACAAUCCUCAACAGAUGAAGCAGCAGGAGGCAUUAACCUUUUCCUUCACUCACACAGUGAUGUUUAAGUGAUGCUUCAGCCCUUCUUGCUAUCACAAUCACAUUAACACAGCUGCUGCAUCACCACAAGCAGACCAGAAUGUGCACAAGCUCCUCCAAGAAGCACAUCAGGAGGAAGAGGAAUUAGUUUCAAACUCAUUGACAAGAAAAGCUGACAUAAACACAGGAGAAAGGCAAUA